rnacentral:rRNA from 2 species
AAACUUUCAACAAUGGAUCUCUUGGCUCUGGCAUCGAUGAAGAACGCAGCGAAAUGCGAUAAGUAGUGUGAAUUGCAGAAUUCAGUGAAUCAUCGAAUCUUUGAACGCACAUUGCGCCCUUUGGUAUUCCUUUGGGCAUGCCUGUUCGAGCGUCAUU